AAAAAGUCUGUUGGACUACCAGUAAUUAAACCCAGCCGCUUGGCUGUUGGGUUUAAGAGGCUGGUGAGUUGGGAAUAGAAAAAAUGGAAUCAAUACUUAUUAACUACUUAGGAAGUUUAAACAAAAUUUAAUGGUUUACUUAUUCCGUUUAAAAUGAAUUAAAGAAAAAAAACAAAUUGGAAUAGUAACAGAGUAGCAGAUUUCACCGUCCUCAUUCCCCCAAUCUGCUUCA
rnacentral:lncRNA from 1 species